GAUGAACGCUAGCGGCAGGCCUAAUACAUGCAAGUCGAACGGUGUCUUCGGACAUAGUGGCGCACGGGUGCGUAACACGUAUGCAACCUACCUUACAUUGGGGGAUAGCCUUUCGAAAGGGAGAUUAAUACCGCAUAAGACAGUAGCUGGGCAUCCAGCAGCUGUUAAAGAUUUAUCGAUGUAAGCUGGGCAUGCGUCCAAUUAGCUAGUUGGUGAGGUAACGGCUCACCAAGGCAAUGAUUGGUAGGGGAACUGAGAGGUCAAUCCCCCACACUGGCACUGAGAUACGGGCCAGACUCCUCCGGGAGGCAGCAGUAGGGAAUAUGGGGCAAUGGACGCAAGUCUGACCCAGCCAUGCCGCGCGCAGGAUGAAGGCGUUAUGCGUUGUAAACUGCUUUUAUACAGGAAGAAACGACUCUUGCGAGAGGCAUUGACGGUACUGUAUGAGUAAGCACCGGCUAACUCCGUGCCAGCCGCCGCCGUAAUAC
rnacentral:rRNA from 1 species